rnacentral:misc_RNA from 1 species
GUGAAUCAUCAAAUUUUUGAACGCAAAUUGCACUUUCUGGUAUUCAGGAAAGUAUGCCUGUUUGAGGGUCAGUUAAAUAAUAAACGGCGUUGUUGCUGACUUUAGUGCUGACACGUCGGAAUUGGGUCGUCUUACUUUCGGUUAAGUGACUUAAAAUAUUUGCAUGAUUUUUGAAAGUCUUUAAUUCACUUACGUACGUUUGAGAUAUCGAAUGAUUAUUAGAUUCGGUCAUUCGCAUGCUUUGCGCAUUU